AGUGAACGCUGGCGGUAGGCCUAACACAUGCAAGUCGAACGGCAGCACCGUGAGAGCUUGCUCUUACGGGUGGCGAGUGGCGUACGGGUGAGGAAUGCAACGGAAUCUACUUUUUCGUGGGGGUUAACGUAGGGAAACUUACGAUAAUACAGCAUCCGACCCACGGGUGAAAGCAUGGGAACUUCGGACCUUGCGCGAUUGAAUGAGCCGAUGACGGAUUAGCUAGUUGGCGGGGUAAUGGCCAACCCAGGCGACGAUACGUAGCCGGACUGGGUGGAGGAUCAGCGACACUGGAGCUGGGACACGGUCCAUGCGCCUACGGGAGGCAGCAGUGUGGAAUGGUGGACAGUGGGCGCAAGCCUGAUCCAGCCAGCCCGCGUGGGUGAAGAAGGCCUUGGGGUUGUGAAGCCCUUUUGUUGGUUGAGAAAAGCAUCAGGUUAAGACGCCGCGGGACUGACGGUACCCAAAGAAUAAGCACCGGCUAACUUCGUG
rnacentral:rRNA from 1 species